AUUGAGAUGACUGAAUCAGGUAAUAAACUGUAAAUUUAUUUAUGGAUAUAUCUUCCUCUCAAUA
rnacentral:tRNA from 2 species